GCACCUCACACACACACACACACACACACUCUCACACACACACAUAUAUAAAGAGCAGCAGUGAGAGUUGCCUCAGAAAGCAGUUGAACUGUAACCCAUCAAGCGAAGCUAAGAUAACAGCUCUACUAUGGACCCAUCAGCACCGUGGCCCUGGGUGACUAUUUCGUUCCCUGAGGAGGCGACCGAGACGUGAAGACCUUGCAGGGUGUUGCGGUCGGUGAUGCCUCCAUUCACCACCAGGCUGCCUCUAUAUCAGCAGGCUGCCUCUAUAUCAGCAGGCUGCCUCUACACCACCAGGCUGCCUCUACAUCAGCAGGCUGCCUCUACACCACCAGGCUGCCUCUACACCAGCAGGCUGCCUCUACACCAGCAGGCUGCCUCUACACCAGCAGGCUGCCUCUACACCACCAGGCUGCUUCUACACCAGCAUCACUAAGUGUGACACAUUAUAUCUUGGAACAUCGCAAGAUCUCCUGGAAUGAUCUAGCAUAUUUAGGCAUGCCUCAGCAUCACCAAGGGUGACAUAAUAUCUCAUGGAAUACCACAGCAUCUCAAGGGAUGCCCCCGCAUUUCAAGGGAUGCCCCACCAUCUCUUGACAAGCCGCAGCAUCACUGUGGAUGGCCCAACAUCUCGUGGCUUGACAUAGCAUCCCUCUCCGCGAGUCAGCUGACUUGUUCAAACACAAGAUUCAGCGAAAACCUUUAAAGUUCCAUCACUCAAUUCUUUUAUUCGAAUAUAUUAUUUUUUUAAACAAAAUUGACAUAAAUUUAUGUAGCAUUUCGCUACAAUAUAUCCUCCAAAACACGGCCAUAUUUUGAUGCUAUUAAUUUCAUGUUGCUAUUAAUUUCAAUUGAUGACCCUCAAUUGAUGACCAUCAAUGGAUGACCAUCGAUUGAUGACCCUCAAAAUGUACUGUUUUGCAGUAAUAGUCCAUUCUUUCGAAUUUCGAUGAAGAGCUUAUGUUUCAAAAUCAUUAGAUUCAUCAACAAACUCGGAUAACUUUUUUGUUUUGCUAUUGUGAAUAUAUCAUGUUACGGGUAUAUCGUUAUACCAUUGCGUGAGGUGCGAUAGACACUUCAUGCAGACAUACUUUGAUCCAUUUAUUUGUGGAGCCUGAAGAUAUAAUCGAAUAAUAUUUUUAAUUUAUCGCAAAAUAUGCUUCUUUUUUAGCGUAGAACAAUGCCUUUAUUGUAUUAUUUGUAUUUGUUAACUUUUUCUCAUAUAUAUACAAUUAUUAUGGUGUAUCUUUCAAGGGUACACCUUGGGUAUAUCUCUUAGAGGUAUACUUUGGGUUUAUCUCUCAGGGAUACACCUUGGGUGUUACUCUGAGUGGUACCUCUACUACACACUACACUGACACACACCUACACUAUCGUUCCCAAAAGUUCUCACUUGGGAUACAUAAAAUGUCACUAAUUUACCGCAGUAAUUCAGACUGUGAUCGGCAAGUAGCUGAAGCCUUCGAUAUAUUUUUAAUUAUUCCUUUAAAUAAUUUUUCAACCUUAGCUGCUCAUAAAAUUUCGAAACAAUUUCCAGGAAACUGACAUAAACAAUCAAUUUUCAAAGUAUAUAUUGACGAGUUUGUCAGUUUAAACAUAUUUUUUUUUCUAUUGUUGUCAUUUUUAAAUAAUAGAACAAACUUCAAUUCAUAGAUUUGCUCUAGAGUUUUUGAGAGCACUGAUGAGUAACUUUAAUAUGAAAGUUGCUAGUGUUAGUUAACAUAAUUGAACAAUUUACUGAUCCUAUGUUGAACAU